rnacentral:rRNA from 1 species
AUUGAACGCUGGCGGCAGGCCUAACACAUGCAAGUCGAACGGUAACAGGAAGCAGCUUGCUGCUUCGCUGACGAGUGGCGGACGGGUGAGUAAUGUCUGGGAAACUGCCUGAUGGAGGGGGAUAACUACUGGAAACGGUAGCUAAUACCGCAUAACGUCGCAAGACCAAAGAGGGGGACCUUCGGGCCUCUUGCCAUCGGAUGUGCCCCGAUGGGAUUAGCUAGUAGGUGGGGUAACGGCUCACCUAGGCGACGAUCCCUAGCUGGUCUGAGAGGAUGACCAGCCACACUGGAACUGAGACACGGUCCAGACUCCUACGGGAGGCAGCAGUGGGGAAUAUUGCACAAUAGGCGCAAGCCUGAUGCAGCCAUGCCGCGUGUAUGAAGAAGGCCUUCGGGUUGUAAAGUACUUUCAGCGGGGAGGAAGGGAGUAAAGUUAAUACCUUUGCUCAUUGACGUUACCCGCAGAAGAAGCACCGGCUAACUCCGUG